CCGGAGUAGCCUAGGGUGCUGGGAGCAGAGCUGAGCGAGAACAUGAAGGCUGGAGAUUUGCUACCAGAUGGUCCCGCAACUGGGGAGCGUAUUGGGCUAAAGCUGGAAUGAACACACACACUCAUGAUUUUAGCUUGAGUGCUGUGGCAAAGGGGCACCAUGUUCCUGUGGUGCCUGCUCCUCUUCCUGUGCUGGGCCUCCCUCCUCCAUUUGUGCCUGUGCUGCCUCCUCUUCCUCAGGCACAACUGACAGCUUUGUCAACAACAACACAGUUAUUUAUCAAAGAUUCCCCAAAAGCGAUUAUAAUCAUCAAUAAUGUAUAAAAAUUAUUUCUGGAUAAUAUAUGGUUAUUUUUUUUCAAUUAGAUAAAACAGUAAGUAUUGCAAUCAUUUAUUACUAUUACUAGUUUAUACCCUUGGUGAUUAUUUUAAAAUUAUUUUAUUUUCGUUUUUUCAUUCUAUUUUGAGACAAUUAAAACAGCACUUAUUUGAAAA